rnacentral:ncRNA from 1 species
GAUUACACCGCGACCUUAUCCACUCUGUAGACGCGGCUG